rnacentral:lncRNA from 1 species
CAACCGAAAAGAUACAUGAAGUUAAAUAUAUAAUAAUCAAUAUAGAUGAAUUAGGCCAAAUUAGAUGAUACAAAUGACAAUCAACGAUAUGUUACAUUAUUAUUCAGGGAAAAAAACAAUAUGUUACAUUAAAACUGAACACAACAUAUAAUUCAAUAAUACAUAGUCAUAAAGUACAAAUAAAAACACCCUCAAAUGACACAAACAAAUUUUAACAAACACAUAAUACAAUACAAAUUACUAUAAAGCAAAAUAGCUGAAUAGUAGAUAUAUAGAAUUCAUGAAAUUUUUAGGCACUUAUGGUUUAGGCACAAUAGGUAACUCUGGCUUAGGAAUUUGAGGUAUUUGAGGCACAGUUGGAAUUUGAGGAAUUUGAGGGAUAGUUGGUACAACAGGAAUAUCAGGAAUUGGAACACCUAAAUUUGGAAUUGGUGGCAAUUGUGGUUCUGUAAGUGGCAAUGGAAGAGUAGGUAGUGGUGGCAAUGGAAGAGUAGGUAGUGGUGGCAACUCAACUUUGGAAACUUCAACCACUUUGUGUAGGUCACGUGCCCCUUCAACAUUUGUCAUUGAUGAAAAAGUUAUGAGUAGAAGUGGUAAAAUGAAUGACCAGAAAUUGAUGGAAGCCAUUUUUUUGGAGCUAGAGCUUGAUAUUUG